rfam:Thermoanaerobacter tengcongensis MB4, complete genome.
GGUCAAGUGAGGUAAGGGCGCAUGGUGGAUGCCCAGGCACCUGGAGCCGAUGAAGGACGCGGCAAGCGGCGAAACGCCCCGGGGAGCCGCAAGCGGGCGUUGAUCCGGGGAUCUCCGAAUGGGGAAACCCGCUUGGGGUAAUACCCAAGCAUCCGCUGAUGAAUCCAUAGUCAGCGGAGGGGAACCGGGCGAACUGAAACAUCUCAGUAGCCCGAGGAAAAGAAAGCAAAAGCGAUUCCCCGAGUAGUGGCGAGCGAAAGGGGAAGAGCCCAAACCUACCGCUUAGGCGGUAGGGGUUCGGGCCCACCGCAAAAGUGUGCGAGUACUCUAGGCGAACGGACCUGGAAAGGCCGGCCAUAGAGGGUGAAAGCCCCGUAGCCGAAAGGGGAAAGCGCACUGGUGGGUACCAGAGUACCACGGGAUAGGCGACCCUGUGGGAAGGAGGGAGGACCACCUCCUAAGGCUAAAUACUCCAGGUGACCGAUAGCGCAUAGUACCGUGAGGGAAAGGUGAAAAGAACCCCGGGAGGGGAGUGAAAUAGAACCUGAAACCAUGUGCCCACAAGCAGUCAGAGCCUGGGUAAUACCAGGUGAUGGCGUACUUUUUGCAGUACGGGCCGGCGAGUUAUGGUAGCGAGCGAGGUUAAGGGUAGAGAUACCCGGAGCCGAAGCGAAAGCGAGUCCGAAGAGGGCGGAAAGUUCGCUGCCAUAGACCCGAAACCGUGCGACCUACCCAUGGCCAGGGUGAAGCCGGAAUAAAAUCUGGUGGAGGCCCGAACCCGUUGGCCGUGAAAAGCCAUGGGAUGAGCUGUGGGUAGCGGUGAAAUGCCAAUCGAGCACGGAGAUAGCUGGUUCUCCCCGAAAUAGCUUUAGGGCUAGCCUCAGGGUAAAGCCUGUGGAGGUAGAGCCACUGACUGGGCUAGGGGCCGAGAGGCUACCGAACCCUAUCAAACUCCGAAUGCCACAGGCAAGUACCUGGGAGUCAGACCACGAGUGAUAAGAUCCGUGGUCGAGAGGGGAACAGCCCAGACCCCCAGCUAAGGUCCCGAAGGGCAUGUUAAGUGGGAAAGGAAGUGGGACUUCGAAGACAACCGGGAUGUUGGCUUAGAAGCAGCCAUACAUUUAAAGAGUGCGUAACAGCUCACCGGUCGAGAGGUCCUGCGCCGAAAAUGAACGGGGCUCAAACAUGCCACCGAAGCUGGGGCUGCGCGUAAGCGCGGGGUAGGGGAGCGUACUGCGCGGGCAGAAGGCUGAGCGUAAGCGAGGCUGGACUGCGCAGUAGUGAGAAUGCCGGCAUGAGUAGCGAGAGCAAGGUGAGAAACCUUGCCGCCGGAAGCCUAAGGUUUCCUGGGGAAGGGUAAUCCGCCCAGGGUAAGUCGGGGCCUAAGCCGAGGCCGGAAGGCGUAGGCGAUGGGAAACCGGUUGAUAUUCCGGUACCACCGAGGGCCGCUUGAGGGAAGCGGGGACGCAGCGAGGUAGGCGGAGCGCGCGGUUGGUAGAGCGCGUCCAACCAGCCACCGAAGGGCACGUAGGCAAAUCCGCGUGCUGGCAGGGGGCUGGGAAGGGGAGCCGCAAGGCGAAGCCGCCGAGGCAGCUGCCAAGAAAAGCCGCUACCGAGGCCUGAGGUGCCCGUACCGCAAACCGACACAGGUAGGCGAGGAGAGAAUCCACAGGCGAGCGGGAGAACCCUCCUUAAGGAACUCGGCAAAUUGACCCCGUAACUUCGGGAGAAGGGGUGCCUCCCUCAGGCUUAGAGUUUAUUGCUCUAGGCUUGAGAAGGCCGCAGAGAAGAGGCCCAAGCGACUGUUUACCAAAAACACAGGUCUCUGCUAAGCCGAAAGGCGAAGUAUAGGGGCUGACGCCUGCCCGGUGCUGGAAGGUUAAGGGGAAGGGUGAAAGCCCUGAACCGAAGCCCCAGUGAACGGCGGCCGUAACUAUAACGGUCCUAAGGUAGCGAAAUUCCUUGUCGGGUAAGUUCCGACCUGCACGAAAGGCGUAACGACUUGGGCGCUGUCUCGAGGAGGGGCCCGGCGAAGUUGUAGUGCUCGUGAAGAUGCGAGCUACCCGCGAUUGGACGGAAAGACCCCGUGGAGCUUUACUGUAGCCUGUCACUGGGUCCUGGUAGUUCCUGUACAGGAUAGGUGGGAGACUGAGAAGGUGGCGCGCCAGCGUCACUGGAGUCGCCGGUGGGAUACCACCCUGGGACUACUGGGGUCCUAACCUAUAGCCGUUAUCCGGCGUAGGGACAAUGGCAGGUGGGCAGUUUGACUGGGGCGGUCGCCUCCUAAAAGGUAACGGAGGCGCCCAAAGGUCCCCUCAGCGCGGACGGAAAUCGCGCGUCGAGUGCAAGGGCAGAAGGGGGCUUGACUGUGAGACCGACGGGUCGAGCAGGGACGAAAGUCGGGCCUAGUGAUCCGACGGUAGCGAGUGGGAGUGCCGUCGCUCAACGGAUAAAAGCUACCCCGGGGAUAACAGGCUGAUCUCCCCCAAGAGUCCACAUCGACGGGGAGGUUUGGCACCUCGAUGUCGGCUCAUCGCAUCCUGGGGCUGAAGAAGGUCCCAAGGGUUGGGCUGUUCGCCCAUUAAAGCGGUACGUGAGCUGGGUUCAGAACGUCGUGAGACAGUUCGGUCCCUAUCCGUCGCGGGCGCAGGAGACUUGAGGGGAGCUGCCCCUAGUACGAGAGGACCGGGGCGGACGAGCCGAUGGUGUACCAGUUGCACCGCCAGGUGCACAGCUGGGUAGCCAAGCUCGUAUGGGAUAAACGCUGAAAGCAUCUAAGCGUGAAGCCCACCCCAAGAUAAGGUCUCCCACCUCGUAAGAGGGUAAGGCACCUCGAAGAAGACGAGGUAGAUAGGCCGGGGGUGUAAGAGCGGAAACGCUCUUAGCUGACCGGUACUAAUAAGCCGAGGACUUGACCCU